rnacentral:rRNA from 1 species
UACGUAGGUGGCAAGCGUUGUCCGGAAUUAUUGGGCGUAAAGCGUGCGCAGGUGGUUCCUUAAGUCUGAUGUGAAAGCCCACGGCUCAACCGUGGAGGGUCAUUGGAAACUGGGGAACUUGAGUGCAGAAGAGGAAAGUGGAAUUCCAAGUGUAGCGGUGAAAUGCGUAGAGAUUUGGAGGAACACCAGUGGCGAAGGCGACUUUCUGGUCUGUAACUGACACUGAGGCGCGAAAGCGUGGGGAGCAAACAGG